rnacentral:rRNA from 1 species
AACGAACGCUGGCGGCAGGCUUAACACAUGCAAGUCGAGCGAGAAGUGUAGCAAUACACGGAAAGCGGCGGAAGGGAGAGUAAUACGUGGGAAUCUGCCCUUAGACCUGGGAUAGCAGCGGGAAACUGCUGGUAAUACCAGAUAAUGUCUAUGGACCAAAGGUGUGAUUCCGCCUAGGGAUGAGCCCACGUCCUAUUAGCUAGUUGGUAGGGUAAUGGCCUACCAAGGCGAUGAUGGGUAGCGGGUGUGAGAGCAUGACCCGCCUCACUGGGACUGAGACACUGCCCAGACACCUACGGGUGGCUGCAGUCGAGAAUCUUCGGCAAUGGGCGCAAGCCUGACCGAGCGAUGCCGCGUGCGGGAUGAAGGCCUUCGGGUUGUAAACCGCUGUCGAGGGGGAGCAACUUCCAUAGAGUUAUCUUUAUGGAUUGAGUGAUCCCUGGAGGAAGGACGGGCUAAGUUCGUGCCAGCAGCCGCAGUAACAC